rnacentral:rRNA from 1 species
UACAGAGACUGCAAGCGUUGUUCGGAUUUACUGGGCGUAAAGGGCGCGUAGGCGGCCUCCGCAAGUCAGUUGUGAAAUCUCCGAGCUUAACUCGGAAAGGUCAACUGAUACUGCGGGGCUAGAGUGCGGAAGGGGCAACUGGAAUUCUUGGUGUAGCGGUGAAAUGCGUAGAUAUCAAGAGGAACACCUGCGGCGAAGGCGGGUUGCUGGGCCGACACUGACGCUGAGGCGCGAAAGCUAGGGGAGCGAACGGG